AGGGGGGGACGACCCCCCCCCCCUAAUAAAUUGAGGGGGGGGGGGACGUGUCCCCC
rnacentral:ncRNA from 1 species